rnacentral:rRNA from 1 species
GCAUAUCAAUAAGCGGAGGAAAAGAAACCAACAGGGAUUGCCUCAGUAACGGCGAGUGAAGCGGCAAAAGCUCAAAUUUGAAAUCUGGUACCUUCGGUGCCCGAGUUGUAAUUUGAAGAUUGUACUCUGGAGUUGGCCCUUGUCUAUGUUCCUUGGAACAGGACGUCACAGAGGGUGAGAAUCCCGUGCGAUGGGGUGUCCAAUUCCAUGUAGAGUGCUAUCGAAGAGUCGAGUUGUUUGGGAAUGCAGCUCUAAGUGGGUGGUAAAUUCCAUCUAAAGCUGAAUAUUGGCGAGAGACCGAUAGCGAACAAGUACAGUGAUGGAAAGAUGAAAAGAACUUUGAAAAGAGAGUGAAAAAGUACGUGAAAUUGUUGAAAGGGAAGGUUAUUAGAUCAGACUUGGUGUUUGGCGAUAUUCAGCCUCUUGUAGGCUGUUCACUCGUCUUUCACUGGGCCAGCAUCGGUUUGGAUGGCAGGAUAAUGGCUGUUGAACGUGGCUCUUCGGAGUGUUAUAGCUUCAGCUGAUACUGCCUAUCUAGACCGAGGACUGCGGCUUUCGAGCCUAGGAUGCUGGCGUAAUGAUCUAAUAUCGCCCGUCUUGAAACACGGACC